rnacentral:rRNA from 1 species
UACGAGGGGGGCAAGCGUUGUUCGGAAUUAUUGGGCGUAAAGAGCGUGUAGGCGGCCAGGUAGGUCUGCUGUGAAAACUCGAGGCUCAACCUCGAGAUGUCGGCGGAAACCAUCUGGCUAGAGUCCGGAAGAGGAGAAUGGAAUUCCCGGUGUAGCGGUGAAAUGCGCAGAUAUCGGGAAGAACACCCGUGGCGAAGGCGGUUCUCUGGGACGGUACUGACGCUGCGACGCGAAAGCGUGGGGAGCGAACAGG